UUUUAGCCCCGAUAGAAACGGUUACCCCGCAGCCAGAUUUGGCCUGUUUAGCUUGGGCGCGAGGAGUAAAAGUGGAUAGCGGGAAUCAGC
rnacentral:sRNA from 1 species